AUUGAACGCUGGCGGCAUGCCUUACACAUGCAAGUCGAACGGCAGCACGGGGCAACCUGGUGGCGAGUGGCGAACGGGUGAGUAAUGCAUCGGAACGUACCUUUCAGUGGGGGAUAACGUAGCGAAAGUUACGCUAAUACCGCAUAUUCUGUGAGCAGGAAAGCAGGGGAUCGCAAGACCUUGCGCUGAUUGAGCGGCCGAUGUCAGAUUAGCUAGUUGGUGAGGUAAAGGCUCACCAAGGCGACGAUCUGUAGCGGGUCUGAGAGGAUGAUCCGUCACACUGGAACUGAGACACGGUCCACACUCCUACGGGAGGCAACAGUGGGAAAUGUUGGACAAGGGGGGCAACCCUGAUCCAGCCAUGCCGCGUGAGUGAAGAAGGCCUUCGGGUUGUAAAGCUCUUUCGGCCGGGAAGAAAUCGCCCGGGCUAAUACCCUGUGUGGAUGACGGUACCGGAAUAAGAAGCACCGGCUAACUACGUGCCAGCCGCCGCCGUAAGAC
rnacentral:rRNA from 1 species